rnacentral:rRNA from 1 species
GUGGGGAAUUUUGGACAAUGGGCGAAAGCCUGAUCCAGCAAUGCCGCGUGCAGGAUGAAGGCCCUCGGGUUGUAAACUGCUUUUGUACGGAACGAAAAGCCUGAGGCUAAUAUCCUCGGGUCAUGACGGUACCGUAAGAAUAAGCACCGGCUAACUACGUGCCAGCAGCCGCGGUAAUACGUAGGGUGCAAGCGUUAAUCGGAAUUACUGGGCGUAAAGCGUGCGCAGGCGGUUUUGUAAGACAGUGGUGAAAUCCCCGGGCUCAACCUGGGAACUGCCAUUGUGACUGCAAGGCUGGAGUGCGGCAGAGGGGGAUGGAAUUCCGCGUGUAGCAGUGAAAUGCGUAGAUAUGCGGAGGAACACCGAUGGCGAAGGCAAUCCCCUGGGCCUGCACUGACGCUCAUGCACGAAAGCGUGGGGAGCAAACAGGAUUAGAAACCCCGGUAGUCC